rnacentral:lncRNA from 1 species
CACGACACGAGCAGCGUUACGUUGCGUUGCACUGGCCUCACGUUGGAGAUUGACUCAGGAACAAAUACAAGUGACGGACGGCGCUUAAAUAAGAAGUUUUCCGCUGGUUCCCGCCACCUGUCAAAAAGGCGAUAGCCACUGCGUGCCGUGUGUUCCUCUCCUGUCGCGCCCGUCGUUGAAUUCCGGGACCAAGUCCUGGUUUGUCGUCGGGAGGCCCAGUGUUGGUUAUAUAAGCCAGGCGAAAUCGCUGGCAGCCCCAGAAAAACUUCCUGCAGCGCAGAAAAAAUUAAAAGUAAAGUCUGUCGCAAAAAACUCAUUAGAAGUUUUAUGUGUAUCUAUCCGUAAUUUAAUCAGUAGCCACAAGGAUGUCUUCAUGACAGCACUCCCACGCAUCCCACGCAACACGCAGCACCUGUCCCACCCUCACACACCCCGCAACACAGCCCGGAAAAGUCAAACUAACUAAGUUGGUGUAAAAAUGUACAUUAAAGUGCAUUAGUUGUAUGUACAAUGUUGGUUGUAGAGUGUCGGCCGGGAGGUGUUGGGU